rnacentral:rRNA from 1 species
UACGUAGGGUGCAAGCGUUAAUCGGAAUUACUGGGCGUAAAGGGUGCGCAGGCGGUUCUGUAAGUCAGAUGUGAAAUCCCCGGCUUAACCUGGGAAUUGCGUUUGAAACUACAGAGCUGGAGUGUAGCAGAGGGGGGUGGAAUUCCAUGUGUAGCAGUGAAAUGCGUAGAGAUAUGGAAGAACAUCGAUGGCGAAGGCAACCCCCUGGGUUAACACUGACGCUCAUGCACGAAAGCGUGGGGAGCGAACAGG